rnacentral:lncRNA from 9 species
UACCACAAGGAGGGUAGGGGUGAAGGAAGAGGAGAGGAAGGGACGUAGUAAUUCUAAGUAAGCAACAUGGUUUCUCAUGAGUUUCAGGACCCUCCUGAUGCUGUAGCAGGAAAAAAGAAAAAUUAGGGAAUCUGGAAAGACCCCUCCUCCAGGACAGGGGUGUAUGUGUAUUGGAAGGGUGUAGCCAGUAUAUUGUCUUUGGCACAUCCCCGGUUUAAGGAGGAGGGGUGUGACGGGCUGGCAUGUCCAGGCAAGGCCUCUGGAGACCUAUGAGCUGAAGUUUCAGCCCAAGAAGGCUGCCCUUACUGCUGGACCCACCGUGUGCCUCAGCGGCCCCCCUGCCUCCUUGAAAAGUAAGGGACCAGCAGCAGUGGCUAAGAGAGGCAAAACUAGGAUGUUUUAAGGAGACAUAGGCUGUUCCUUAGAAGGCAGGAUCUGUGUGGGCACGACGGGAGAUGGCUAUCGCUGCCCAAGACCACAGGCCAACCUGCUAGAAACAGCUGGGAGAUAGGUCUCUCCCCAGCCAGCGGCUGCUUAUCUCUUGUCAGCCUCCUGCGUCUCAAGCCGCCUCACAGCCCCCAGCCCCAACACACGCCAAGUCUCCCUUGGUACCAUAAUUGAUGGCAGAUGGCUAAGGGGGGGCCAGAGAACACAAAGGGGGCCCGGAUUCCAACUUGGAGUGAGUCAACAACAGACCCAGGCACAGUGCAGCCCCGCACCACUGGAAGGACCACGGCUGGGACUCCAGGUCGUUGAGAAGGUUCAGUUGCUCCUUCUAGUUCCAUAAGGACCCCUCGGACCGCCCGGCUUUGCCACCUACAGCGUCCCUUACGGGUCUCGGGGUCCAGUGAAAGAAAUGAGCCCUCACUCAGACCAGCAGGCCUCAUUGGUGACAGCUUUGCUCUGCUGCCCAGAGCUGAUAAGAAACAUCACACAAGGAAGACAGAUGCCUCUUCCUCACUUUCUAAUCAGAGUGGAAAUGCUGCUACAUAUAUUCAUAAUUCUUUGUAAGCAUCAUUGGGUAAUGUCCAGGACAGCUGUUAGAGUUCCCUAUUUCUCACAAAGUUGUACUCUUUAAGGUCAGCUCAAGGACAGCCAAUCUGGGAGUUAUUCUUUAGAAUCAAGAACAAGAAUCAAGGGCAGAAGAAGCUGACAUUGUCCCCAGGAGCUGUUAAUGAAGAUGGUAAGAAAGUGGGGAUGUUGGCUAUUUUUACAGUUUCUGUCUUUAACCCCUCCCCCAGCCCCAAAGUGAACUGAAAACAGGGACAGAAACAGAUAAUGCAAAGUUGGUUGGGGUUAAGUGUAAAACUACCCAUCUGGACUGAAG